CAGGUAACGCGCGCGCGCGCCAACGGCUCCUCUCACGGCCAUCAACUUCCUCAAGGAGGAGAGCGGGCACCCUGCACCCCCCCGGCGUCUCUCCCCGCUGCGGCACCGGAGGGCGGCCGGCCAAAGAGACCGCCUGACUGCCGCUCACCUCGCACAGGUGCCGUGAUGGAAACAGUGCUUGGGGAAGGUUGUCCUAAAAGGGAUGUAAUGCUCCUGUAUUUCCAGACCUCUGUGAUCUUGGGAAAGAUCUACAGUAGCCUUCUAAGCCAUUCGCUGAGGAAACUCAGGUACUAAGGAUACUUGUUCUUCAAUGGGAAAUGUCCUAUCAAAGUGGGUGGUUUACUGCCAAUUACCAUGGUAUCAGAAUUGGUGAUUACAGACUUUCAGUGUCUGUUCUUCAGACUUUCAGGCUUUCAGCAUCGAUUUUCAGUGAUCUUGAAAC